GUGCCUUGUGGGGUGGCCGCCCGCGGAAAUUUGAAAUGAUCGCUUGCUGCCGUGUGGCAGUCUGGGGCCUGUGGGGAUCGCACCAGGGCUCCCUGAUUGAGAAGCCGAGGAGGAGAAAGAAAUUUUCCAAGCAAGUCAGCUUUUGUUUUGGGAAUGAGUCAGAGACUACCAAGACUAUAUUUUAGCUGACUGCAAGGUCUCUGAAGUAAGGGGAUUCAUAGCGGAGUUCUUGGAGAAAGUCCUUGAACCAUCUGGAUGGCAGGCAUUCUGGCACACUGAUGUGCUUGAGGUACUGGUCCAGUGAUCUGUGGUCUGGUAUGAAGGUAACUGUUAUUGUUUGUCCUGGCCAUUAUGUGGUACAUGGCACAUUCUUCAUUGGUGACCUCAUUGAAUUAGAAGUGUUACAGGACUUCUUAAGUGAACAUUGUGGCAUUCCCAAAAUACCCAUGGUAAAUAAUAUCAUGUGUAAUAACGAAGAUUAUGAUGUUUUGGUGAUACCUUCCAUUUUCUCUUACCUGCAAGAAAAUGCCCAAGAUGAAAUUGAAGGUCUUGAUUGUUGAACACAGAAAAGGCCAUGUCCAGCAGUUGGGUCACAGAUGUCUGUAACUCCAUUUUAAGUUUUUGUAGUUUACAUCAAAUAUCUGAGGCUGAUUAACAGAUGAAAUGAUGUCCCAUUAGUGCGUCUCCCUCCCUGGAAGAUAUAUCUAUAUUAGUAUAUUUACCAAAGACUCAACGCACCUCUUUAUCUCCCUAGUAAGAGCAGCUAGCUUAUUAGACAUCAUUUCUAGCCCAUGACUAGUAUUAUAAUCCCAGUUU
rnacentral:lncRNA from 1 species